rnacentral:rRNA from 1 species
AGGACGAACGCUGGCGGCGCGCUUAAUACAUGCAAGUCGAGCGAGAACCAGGGCUUCGGCCCUGGGGACAGCGGCGAACGGGUGAGUAACACGUGGGUAAUCAACCCCCGACACCGGGAUAGCCCAGGGAAACUUGGAUUAAUACCGGAUGCUCCGUCUGGCCUUCGGGCCGGCCGGAAAAGGGUAGCUUCGGCCUCCGGUCGGGGACGAGCCCGCGGCGGAUUAGCUUGUUGGUGAGGUAAAGGCUCACCAAGGCGACGAUCCGUAGCUGGUCUGAGAGGACGAUCAGCCACACUGGGACUGAGACACGGCCCAGACUCCUACGGGAGGCAGCAGUAGGGAAUCUUGCGCAAUGGGCGAAAGCCUGACGCAGCGACGCCGCGUGAGGGAAGAAGGCCUUCGGGUUGUAAACCUCUUUCAGGAGGGACGAAGCCACUCGGGUUAAUAGCCCAGAGGGUGACGGUACCUCCAGAAGAAGCCCGGCUAACUACGUGCCAGCAGCCGC